AAGGCGGUACGUUCCGGUCGCCGCUCCCCCCGGGGGGCCGGCCGGCUCGUUCCGCCAUUUUCACCCACGCCAUAACACAUUUGACCAGUAUCGAACGCUUGCAGGCCCUGCCUCGAGCUUUAACUGAGACAACUCUCAACAACGGAUAUCUUGGCUCUCGCAACGAUGAAGAACGCAGCGAAAUGCGAUACGUAGUGUGAAUUGCAGAAUUCCGUGAAUCAUCGAAUCUUUGAACGCAUAUUGCGGUCGAGGCUUCGGCCGAGACCACGUCUGCCUCAGCGUCGGAAUACACCCUCAGCCCAAAGGCUGGAGCUGGCCCCCCCGGAGACGCCUCGUUCCCCGGGUCGGCUGAAAGGCAGAGGCUCCCGCACGGACCCAUCGAGGCCGCGGUUAGGUAGGUAGCUCGCUACUGCUAGCCGGAGGCCGGGCACGCGCGGCGGAGCCCGCAGGUUAUUCUAACACAUCGACCU
rnacentral:misc_RNA from 1 species